rnacentral:rRNA from 1 species
UAACUGAAGAGUUUGAUCAUGGCUCAGAUUGAACGCUGGCGGCAGGCUUAACACAUGCAAGUCGAGCGGGGGAAGGUAGCUUGCUACUGGACCUAGCGGCGGACGGGUGAGUAAUGCUUAGGAAUCUGCCUAUUAGUGGGGGACAACAUCUCGAAAGGGAUGCUAAUACCGCAUACGUCCUACGGGAGAAAGCAGGGGAUCUUCGGACCUUGCGCUAAUAGAUGAGCCUAAGUCGGAUUAGCUAGUUGGUGGGGUAAAGGCCUACCAAGGCGACGAUCUGUAGCGGGUCUGAGAGGAUGAUCCGCCACACUGGGACUGAGACACGGCCCAGACUCCUACGGGAGGCAGCAGUGGGGAAUAUUGGACAAUGGGGGGAACCCUGAUCCAGCCAUGCCGCGUGUGUGAAGAAGGCCUUAUGGUUGUAAAGCACUUUAAGCGAGGAGGAGGCUACUUUAGUUAAUACCUAGAGAUAGUGGACGUUACUCGCAGAAUAAGCACCGGCUAACUCUGUGCCAGCAGCCGCGGUAAUACAGAGGGUGCGAGCGUUAAUCGGAUUUACUGGGCGUAAAGCGUGCGUAGGCGGCUUAUUAAGUCGGAUGUGAAAUCCCCGAGCUUAACUUGGGAAUUGCAUUCGAUACUGGUGAGCUAGAGUAUGGGAGAGGAUGGUAGAAUUCCAGGUGUAGCGGUGAAAUGCGUAGAGAUCUGGAGGAAUACCGAUGGCGAAGGCAGCCAUCUGGCCUAAUACUGACGCUGAGGUACGAAAGCAUGGGGAGCAAACAGGAUUAGAUACCCUGGUAGUCCAUGCCGUAAACGAUGUCUACUAGCCGUUGGGGCCUUUGAGGCUUUAGUGGCGCAGCUAACGCGAUAAGUAGACCGCCUGGGGAGUACGGUCGCAAGACUAAAACUCAAAUGAAUUGACGGGGGCCCGCACAAGCGGUGGAGCAUGUGGUUUAAUUCGAUGCAACGCGAAGAACCUUACCUGGCCUUGACAUACUAGAAACUUUCCAGAGAUGGAUUGGUGCCUUCGGGAAUCUAGAUACAGGUGCUGCAUGGCUGUCGUCAGCUCGUGUCGUGAGAUGUUGGGUUAAGUCCCGCAACGAGCGCAACCCUUUUCCUUACUUGCCAGCAUUUCGGAUGGGAACUUUAAGGAUACUGCCAGUGACAAACUGGAGGAAGGCGGGGACGACGUCAAGUCAUCAUGGCCCUUACGGCCAGGGCUACACACGUGCUACAAUGGUCGGUACAAAGGGUUGCUACACAGCGAUGUGAUGCUAAUCUCAAAAAGCCGAU